rfam:Rattus norvegicus chromosome 17, whole genome shotgun sequence.
GGGGAUUUAGCUCAGUGGCAGAGCACUUGCCUAGCAAGCACAAGGCCCUGGGUUCAGUCCCCAGCUCCG